rnacentral:rRNA from 1 species
GGAUGAACGCUGGCGGCGUGCCUAAUACAUGCAAGUCGAGCGAACGGACGAGAAGCUUGCUUCUCUGAUGUUAGCGGCGGCCGGGUGAGUAACACGUGGAUAACCUACCUAUAAGACUGGGAUAACUUCGGGAAACCGGAGCUAAUACCGGAUGAUAUUUUGAACCGCAUGGUUCAAAAGUGAAAGACGGUCUUGCUGUCACUUAUAGAUGGAUCCGCGCUGCAUUAGCUAGUUGGUAAGGUAACGGCUUACCAAGGCAACGAUGCAUAGCCGACCUGAGAGGGUGAUCGGCCACACUGGAACUGAGACACGGUCCAGACUCCUACGGGAGGCAGCAGUAGGGAAUCUUCCGCAAUGGGCGAAAGCCUGACGGAGCAACGCCGCGUGAGUGAUGAAGGUCUUCGGAUCGUAAAACUCUGUUAUUAGGGAAGAACAUAUGUGUAAGUAACUGUGCACAUCUUGACGGUACCUAAUCAGAAAGCCACGGCUAACUACGUG